rnacentral:rRNA from 1 species
UACGUAGGGCGCAAGCGUUGUCCGGAAUUAUUGGGCGUAAAGAGCUCGUAGGUGGCUUGUCACGUCGGGUGUGGAAAGCUUGGGGCUUAACGUCCAGGUCUGCAUUCGAUACGGGCUGGCUAGAGGUAGGUAGGGGAGAACGGAAUUCCUGGUGUAGCGGUGAAAUGCGCAGAUAUCAGGAGGAACACCGGUGGCGAAGGCGGUUCUCUGGGCCUUACCUGACGCUGAGGAGCGAAAGCGUGGGGAGCGAACAGG